ensembl:snRNA U2 U2 spliceosomal RNA
AUCACUUCUCGGCCUUUUGGCUAAGAUCAAGUGUAGUAUAUUUUUCUUCAAGCUUACCUUUUAAUUUAAAGGUACUCUAUUAAAUUAAAGCCAGUAUUAUCUUGCUAUAAAUGCAAGAUAAAUGUAAAGCUAA